rnacentral:misc_RNA from 1 species
GCCGCCCAUCGCCUUUCAUCAAAAGAAAAAGAAAACACGAAAAAGAACUUCAAUCUUGGCUCCGAUUGAUCUUAGCUGUUGAGAUGGCAUCAUCAACAGCUGGGGCGGCCACAGGAUGGUAUAGAGGCAGGGUGAAAGCCGUUCCGUCAGGGGACUGCCUGGUAAUUACGGCCAUGGCUAGCAGCAAACCGGGACCCCCUCCCGAGAAGACCAUUACUUUAUCUUCUCUGAUCGCUCCAAGAUUGGCUCGAAGAGGUGGUGUCGAUGAGCCAUUUGCAUGGGAUAGUAGAGAAUACUUGCGGAAGUUAUGCAUAGGAAAGGAGGUUGCAUUUAGAGUAGACUAUACUGUGCCAUCCAUUGGUCGAGAGUUCGGUUCUGUUUUUCUUGGUGACAAGAAUAUUGCAGC